UGCUACGAGAUGGUCGCAUGAUGAUGCGCGGAUUGUUCUCCCAAUGAUGUAGCAGGAACUCCAGAGACAGCAUACAGGGGGUCGCAGCUUGCUGCGAAAAUCAUUCCCGCGGGAUGCAAAUGGAUCACUCCGGACAGGACUUGCAGUGUUUUACUUCUUGUCUUGCACUCCUAUUUUGGUGGUGUGGAGAGACGCAGCCGACGGGCCGACAGCGGGAGGACACAGGCGUUCUGGACCAAGAUGGAGGACAGGAGACUAUAAGAGAGGCGAAGGGGGCACGAUCGGAAUGGAGAAAGGAGGAAACCACGGCAGCCCGAUCACGAGCCCGACAACCCAUAUCGACAGCCGAGAUCACGCCAAAAUGAGUCCCCGCCACAAACGAACCAGGCGAGCACCGAAAGGUGCAGCACGACCAGGAAGAGGAGCCGGCGCAGUAGGAAUGGGCGUGCCCGACUGGUCCGAAGAAAGGUCGUGUGAAACAAUAAAAGUAACUCAAACCUGCUAUGACGCGUCGUGUGUCCAGUGUCACCGCAACCCACACGAGGACGGCUGGGAGUCCGUCACAGGCAGCUUUUUAUCUUUUUUUGC